GACGAACGCUGGCGGCGUGCCUAACACAUGCAAGUCGAGCGAAAAGACGCGGCUCUUGUUCCUUUGACGUUAGCGGCGGACGGGUGGGUAACACGUGGAUAACCUACCUGUAUGUCUGGGAUCACCUCGGGACUCCGGAGCUUACACCGGAUAAUAUACUGAUGCGUAUGGUGCAAUAGUGAAAGUCGGUUUUGCUGGCACUUAUAGAUGGAUACGGGCGGUAUUAGCUAGUUGGUAAGGUAACGGCUUUCCAAGGCGACUAGGCGUAGCCGACGUGAGAGGCUGGUAGCCGACCCGAGAGCGGAGCCGCGCACCAUACGCCUACGAGAGGGAGCAGUCGGGUAUCUUCCGCAAUGGGCGGAAACCUGACAGAACGACGCCGCGUGAGUGAUGGAAGUCUUGGGAGCGUAAAUCUCUGUUAUUAGGGAAGAACAAAUUUGUAAGUAGCUAUGCAGGUCUUGACGGUACCGGGUCAGGAAGCCACGGCUAACUACGUG
rnacentral:rRNA from 1 species